rnacentral:siRNA from 1 species
AGGAGCUUACAAGGCAUCUACUCG